rnacentral:rRNA from 1 species
UGGAGGGCAAGUCUGGUGCCAGCAGCCGCGGUAAUUCCAGCUCCAAUAGCGUAUAUUAAAGUUGUUGCAGUUAAAAAGCUCGUAGUUGAAUUUCAGGCCUGGCUGGACGGUCCGCCCUUCGGGUGAGUACUGUCUGUGGUCGGGUCCUACCUUCUGGCGAAGCGUCAUGGCCUUAACCGGCCGUGGCGGGGAACCAGGACUUUUACUGUGAAAAAAUUAGAGUGUUCAAAGCAGGCAAUCGCUUGGAUACAUUAGCAUGGAAUAAUGGAAUAGGACAAUGGUUCUAUUUGUUGGUUUCUAGGACCGUUGUAAUGAUUAAUAGGGAUAGUUGGGGGCAUUAGUAUUCAAUUGUCAGAGGUGAAAUUCUUGGAUUUAUUGAAGACUAACUACUGCGAAAGCAUUUGCCAAGGAUGUUCUCAUUAAUCAAGAACGAAAGUUAGGGGAUCGAAGACGAUCAGAUACCGUCGUAGUCUUAACCAUAAACUAUGCCGACUAGGAAUCGGGCGAUGUUGACAAAAUGACGCGCUCGGCACCUCAUGGGAAAC